GAUGAACGCUGGCGGCGUGCCUAAUACAUGCAAGUCGAGCGAACCACUUCGGUGGUGAGCGGCGAACGGGUGAGUAACACGUAGGUGAUCUGCCCAUCAGACGGGGACAACGAUUGGAAACGAUCGCUAAUACCGGAUAGGACGAAAGUUUAAAGGUGCUUCUGGCACCGCUGAUGGAUGAGCCUGCGGCGCAUUAGCUAGUUGGGAGGGUAAAGGCCUACCAAGGCGACGAUGCGUAGCCGACCUGAGAGGGUGAACGGCCACACUGGGACUGAGACACGGCCCAGACUCCUACGGGAGGCAGAAGUAGGGAAUCUUCGGCAAUGGGCGAAAGCUUGACCGAGCAACGCCGCGUGAAUGAUGAAGGCCUUCGGGUUGUAAAAUUCUGUUAUAAGGGAAGAACGACUUUAGUAGGAAAUGGCUAGAGUGUGACGGUACCUUAUGAGAAAGCCACGGCUAACUACGUGCCAGCCGCCGCCGUAA
rnacentral:rRNA from 1 species